UUCAAGUAUAGGAGCCUAUAGGGGCCAUUCUCAACUUAAACAAUAUGCUCUAUGUGGGCAUUUUAUUUAAAUUAAUAGAGACUUUCUGUUUCUAAACAGCAAAGGGGAAUUGCUGAGCAUUCCUGGAAGAAGUUGUAUAGCCUAUGCAUUCUCCUUCUGAAGCAAAGUCUGGGAACAGGUACCAAAGAGCUUGAUUCCUUAAGAAACCAAGUCAUCUGAAAAGGACAGCUGUUUUUAUUACCCCUCUAUUUCAACAAGCUUCUUGUUAACGGUGCUCAUCCCUGCCCUUGCUGUUGACACAUGAUGUUCUUUUUUGGAAUCUGACUAACCAGGACAAAAAUGAACAGGGAAGAGCCAAGAGCAAAGGAUAGACACGAUGCUUCUGGAGAGGAAAAGAGGCUCAGCCUGCUAAGUAUCAAGACUCGCUAUUAGUAGCAAUUGUGUGGCUUUUCUUUUUGUCCAGCUAGUGGACAAAGACUUUAAAAGACAGUGCUAAACAAACACUCUUUUGUAACCCAGGAUUUAUUGUUCUGUGUGCGUUUGGGUACAUACAAGAAGGAAUAUGAUGAUGAAAAGAACUGCAUGAAGCAAUAGAAAUGACAGCUUUGUUAUUAGUGCAGGGAUAGACUAGCACACAAUAGAACAGAUGAGAGAAUGCAGAACAGACCACACCUGUACACCGGAUGCUGGAGGUGGUUAUAGGGGACAGUGGCUAUCUUGAGUGGUCCUGGAAAGCUAGUUUCCUUGAACAUGGAAAAAAUAAAAUGGAGCUCUACCAUAUACAAAGAAUAAAGAGUAUGAGUGAAAAUGUAGUUUUUUAAGACUACAUUUAUUUGUUUGUUUAUUGUCAGGUGGCAUGUGGUGUGGCAUGCGUGUGGAGUGAGAGGACAACCUGAGGGAGCUAGUGGGUCCCAGGGCUUGAACUCAGGUCAUCAGGCUUGGUGACAGGCACCUUUGCUUGUUGAACCCCCUCACUGCCCAUGAGAAGCACUU